rnacentral:rRNA from 1 species
UACGAAGGGGGCGAGCGUUGUUCGGAUUUACUGGGCGUAAAGGGCGCGUAGGCGGCCCUCCUAGUCGCGUGUGAAAGCCCCGGGCUCAACCUGGGAACGGCGCGCGAAACGGGGGGGCUGGAGUUCGGGAGAGGAGCGUGGAAUUCCCAGUGUAGAGGUGAAAUUCGUAGAUAUUGGGAAGAACACCGGUGGCGAAGGCGGCGCUCUGGACCGAGACUGACGCUGAGGCGCGGAAAGCGUGGGGAGCAAACAGG